AUGAUACUUCAUUCAGUUAUUCUGCUCUCUGCUUUAGCAUGUGCCAGUAACGGAGAUACUAUUACACCAGACAAAACAGUGGAGUUUGUUGCAGAGGGUUCAAAUGUUACAUUAUCCUGCAGUUAUUCAUCUGCAUGGUCUUUACUUUGGUACCGUCAGUAUCCCAGAUCAGCGCCUGAGUUCCUUGUGCUCAUCUUAGACAGUGCAAAACAAGCUCAGACGUCUGAUGUAGAUCAAAGAUUCAGUUCUAAAAUCAGAAAAGAAAAACAAAAUCAUGUGGAUCUGAAGAUCUCCUCUGCAGCUCUGAAAGACUCUGCUCUGUACUACUGUGCGCUGAGGCCCACAGUGACAGGAAACAAAACACAUUAUGAUGUGUCCUCGGGACAGGACAGGGUUGAACAGUCUCCAGGAGAAAUAACUGAAAGUGAAGGAGCUCAAGUUAUUUUGAUGUGUAAUUAUACUACUACUUCUACAGCUCCAUACCAUUUCUGUCACAGGAAACACAAGAACACUGUAACCACAAAAGAGAUCAAACGUGUGGAUCUGAUCAUCUCCUCUGCUGCAGUAUCAGACUCUGCUCUGUAUUACUGUGCUCUGAGG